UAAACUUUUUAGAGGUCGCAUGUGCAUGCAUUCUCUUAUUUUAAAUUUUUUUAAUAAAAAUGAGCUUUAAAAAGUUGUCAGAGUUACAGUUAGCAGAGUAUUUGUUAUCAAAAAGAAUAUCUAUAGAUGCUACAGAAAAGCUUAAAAAUGAAGAAAUUGACGGGACAGCUUUUUUGGAGUUGAACGCAUUAUUGCUGCAUGCAAUGGGCAUCAAAAUGGGCCAGGCCAUUAAAAUUCAAGCCAUAAUUGAGGGAAAAAAGGUGAAAAAUAUAAUUGUAAUAAAAUAUGGAGCUCAGAAAAUAUUAUUUAUUUUUUAUUAAAAAUAUAUUUUUAGUUAAAUAUAAAUUAUGAUGAUUAAAUUAAUGCAUUAGUGUAACAUUAUUUUUAUAUUUUACAUGAUAUUUUUCAGGGAUUUUUACGACUGAGUUGUUACUUGUGCACAAAAAAAUUUCAAUCCACUAAUGAUUAUACUUAUCAUUUAAGAAACACGCACCUGUUGUUUGAACCUUGUUUUUUACGAUGCAAUGCUGAUGGUUGCAUGCGCACAUUCACACUUUAUAAAGUGUUAUGUAAACAUUAAAAAAACUCAUAUGUGUCAUAAUAAUUUGAAAGAAGUUGAUAAACAUUCAGAUAUUACUGUCCAAAAUACAGAAAAUGAAUACUUAGCUGAAGAUUACAAUGAGGUUUUAUAUUCUGAAAGUUUAACAAAAGAAAGUGUAGCAAAAGAAAGUGUUUUUAUUGCACCUAUUGUAGACGAGUAUGGUGUUUCACACGCAGCAUUAAAAUUUUUGAUGUCUCUGCAAUCUUCUAGUUCCAUUUCUCUAAGCGUAUCUCAGUUCAUAAUGGAUAGUUUAAAUGAGUUGUUAAAGGAUAUUAUUAAUUAUCUGCUUGCCAAGACAGACGUUGUGUUAAAAACAUACAGAUGUGAUGCCGUAACAUUUAAUACUCUUUCAGAAGAAUUUAACAACUGGAAAAAUCUUUUUAAAGGCAUUGAUACUCAUUAUAAAAUGUUGAAUUAUCUUAAAGUAAAAGGUCUCUAUGUUGAACCUGAAGCACAUUCAAUAGGAGAUCGGUGGGAUGUUAAGCGAGACAGAUCAACAAAGCAACAAAUGCAGGUGUGUGUAAAAAAUAAAUUUUACCUUAUACCAAUUGAGAAAACUUUGAAAUUGGUUUUGCGACAACCUGAGACUUGGAAAAUUUUAAAAAGAAACAAUGAGUCAGCAAAUGAUAUAGCAGAAGAUUGGUUAGACGGUAAGCAUGGGAGACAGCUAAAAACAUAUGCCAAACAUUAUUUUUCUAACAGCAUUCAUGUAUUUAUUCAGAUUUAUUUUGAUGAGGUAGAGACAACAAAUCCGCUUGGAUCCAAAACUGGAAUACAUAAGUUAGGUGCAUUUUAUUUCACAAUAAAAAACUUUCCACCAGCUGCAAAUUCUGCAUUAAGCAAUAUUCAUUUGUUGGCCUUGGCACAUUCGGAAGACAUUAAACGGUACACCACUGAUCCUGUUAUGGAAGUUAUUGUUCAGCAAUUAAAAGACUUACAUGAUGAGGGCUUUACUGUUUUUUGUGAUGGAAAAGAGAUAAAUUUUCGUUGUUUUUUAACACAAGUUGUUGGUGAUAAUUUAGGGCUACAUGCAAUUCUUGGAUACAUGGAAAAUUUUAGCAGUGCUUCAUUUGCUUGUGACUUGUGUAUGGCAACUCAGGAUGAGAUGCAAAAAGUAUUUUGUGAAUAUUCUCUUACAAUGAGGACACAACAAUCAUAUGAGCAACAUAUUGAGCAGCUUAAUAAUGGUACCAUUUCAUCUAAAGAGUGUGGCAUAAAGCGUCCCUCAACUUUAAAAAGUUUGAACUAUUACCAUCCUGCUUGUAAUGACUCAGCCGAUAUAAUGCAUGAUUUGUUUGAAGGUGUAAUUCCGUUUGAAGUCAAGUUAUUUUUGCGCCACAUAAUUUAUGACUUGAAGCUUAUUAAUCUCCAUGGGCUUAAUUGUCGUAUUAAUACAAUGGAUUAUGGUCUGGUUAGUAACUCAAAGCCAAGUUUUAUAAGUGAGUCACAUUUAAAAAGUCACAGCUCAUUGCUUGGACAAAGGUCAGCUCAGAUGCUGAUUUUGUUUUUAGAUUUACCAUGUAUUUUAGCUGAUGUUAUUGACAAAGUAGAUAAUUUAAAAUGGCGUUUGUACCAAUUGCUAAAACAGCUGACAGAAAUUAUUUUAUUGCCAAACUCUGUACUGUCGCAUGUCUUGUACUUAAAAGAUCUUGUAUCAGAGCAUCAUGAGUUAUUUAAAAUAUGUUAUCCUGAUAAAAGACUUUUAUACAAACAUCACAGAAUGGUUCACUAUGGUACUAUAAUAGAGAAUAGCGGACCACUUUUACAUAUGAUGAAAAACGAUAGUGUAUUAAAAGACGUAACAUGCUUAAAAAAUACAACAGCUAUAGCUUUCAGUUUAACUGAAACUUUAAACAGCCCCCUUGAUGAGUCAGCUGUGUCACCAACAUUAUCAUCGACACUUCAACUUUCACCUGACGUUUUAAACGAGUCAAGAAAAAUUAAGUUAAAGGUUGCUUUAAGAUUAGAUAACAUUGACUUUAACAUACGUAGUUUGCUUGAUGAGCAUCAAACAGGUAAGCUUGUUUUGGCAGAAUAUGAUUCUACAGGUGCACUUAUUAAAAGGCGUCAAGAUAUGAUCCACAUUGUUGUUAACUCAAUGGUCCAUAGAGUUGGAAAUAUGUAUCCUUCUACAAAAACCAAAUCUAAUCUUGCAAAAGCAAUUAUCACUGCCUUUCCAAAGCUGCAUUCUGGUGGAAAACUUGGAUAUGAAAACUAUUAUAGUCUAUAUACAGAAUUUGUAAUGAGUAAUAAGAAAAAGAAGGUCACUCCUCAUGGCCACAUAGAAGAGAGACUGAAAACUAUGCGUAAACAUGUUGGUGUUCAUUUUCAAGCUCGUCGAAAGAGAGUUAUUGUUUUAGCAGAAGAGUUCCACUCAUCAGCACCUUUUUCAAAAGAAGAACUAAGUAUGAUUGCAGAGUUGAGAUUUGAUGACUUAAAAUAAAAUGUAUUUAAUAACUAUACAUGUUAUUAACAUUAUUAUACAGAAAAAUGCCCCGUUGAGAGUCGGACUCUCAAGGGAAGGGGAAUACAUAAAUAGUUUGACUUAGCGAAUGUCCGAGUUAUGCGAAGUUCUGGGUAUGUAGAGAGUUCAAGGGGAAUUGAAAAUCUGUACGACUUAUCCAAGGUCCAAGUUAACGGGAUUCUACUGUAUUUUUAGUCAUUAAAUAUAGCAUCAACUCCGAUGGAAAUUGUGCUUCAAAGUCUUACUCACUAGCAUCAGUUAGUCAUAGCUUUGGGUACUCAUUGCAGUGUCGGUCAAUUAUUUAUUGUUACAGAGUGUCGAGCUA
rnacentral:misc_RNA from 1 species